UUGGAGGGCAAGUCUGGUGCCAGCAGCCGCGGUAAUUCCAGCUCCAAUAGCGUAUAUUAAAGUUGUUGCGGUUAAAAAGCUCGUAGUCUGAGGUCUGUUCCGGACUGGCUGGGGAGGUCACCGCCCGGUGCUUCCCCGUCAGGUUCCGAACAGCUUCUGCCGCGAGCGGAAGCCAUGCCGGUUCUGUCGGGGUGCUCUUGACCGAGUGUCCCGUGUGGCCGGCAGGUUCACCUUGAACAAAUGAGAGUGCUCAAAGCAGGCUACUCUUAAAACUAAAGCCUGAAUGUUAACUGCAUGGAAUGAUGAAAGAUGAUCUCGGUUCUAUUGGUACUGGCGUUAAGAACCCGAGUUAAUGAUAAACAGGUCUGUGAUGCCCUUAGAAUACUACGACGCGAGAGGUGAAAUUCAGUGACCGUCGUAGGACGAACAACAGCGAAAGCAUUUGCCAAGAAUGUCUUCGUUGAUCAAGAACGAAAGUUAGAGGAUCGAAGGCGAUCAGAUACCGCCCUAGUUCUAACCCUAAACGAUGCUAACUAGCUAUUCGCCGUCGUUAUUCCCAUGACGUGGCGAGACGCCCCCGGGAAACCUCAAGUCUUUGAGUUCCGGGGGUAGUAUGGUUGCAAAACUGAAACUUAAAGGAAUUGACGGAAGGGCACCACCAGGAGUGGAGCCUGCGGCUUAAUUUGACYCAACACGGGAAACCUCACCAGGCCCGGACACCAGAAGGAUUGACAGAUUAAGAGCUCUUUCUCGAUUUGGUGGGUGGUGGUGCAUGGCCGUUCUUAGUUGGUGGAGUGAUUUGUCUGGUUAAUUCCGGUAACGAACGAGACUCUGGCCUACUAACUAGUGGAUGGGUGUCCUGGUAACGGGCCCCAUCCGAUAAGGUCUUCUUAGAGGGAUGAGCAGCGAGUAUAGCUGCAGGAGAUUGAGCAAUAACAGGUCUGUGAUGCCCUUAGAA
rnacentral:rRNA from 1 species